GGAAUAUUAGAAAUGGACGAAAGUCUGAUCUAGCAACACCGCGUGUGCGAAGAAGGCCUUCGGGUUGUAAAGCACUUUUUGGAAGGAUUAGGAAGGAAUGUACUUCCAGAAUAAGUCUCGGCUAACUACGUGCCAGCAGCCGCGGUAACACGUAGGAGGCAAACGUUAUCCGGAUUUACUGGGUUUAAAGGGUGCGUAGGCGGGCGUUUAAGUCCGCGGUGAAAGUCUGCGGCUCAACCGUAGGAUUGCCGUGGAUACUGGACGUCUUGGAUUCGGUCGGGGCGGCGGAAUGCGUGGUGUAGCGGUGAAAUGCAUAGAUAUCACGCAGAACGCCGAUAGCGAAGGCAGCUCGCCGGGCCGAAAUCGACGCUGAGGCACGAAAGCGUGGGGAUCAAACAG
rnacentral:rRNA from 1 species